AUGCUCCGUCGCAGCUCCAACGAUCUCGGCGGUGCUCCAAUGAAACCUCAUCGCAGCAUGGCCAGGCACGACGGUGCUCUGUCGCGGCUCCAUUGCAGCGCCGACGACCUCGGUAGUGCUCCAUUGAAACCUCAUUGCAGCACGGACGGCACGACGGUGCUCCGUCGCGGCUCCAUUGCAGCGCCGACGACCCCCGGCGUCCCGGCGAAGCUCCAUUGCCGCCCCCGCCGUGCUCCAUUGCAGCCGCGGCGGAGCUUCAUUGCAGCCACCGGCGCGCGGCGUUCCGACGAAGCUCCAUUGCAGCCAACGCGGAGCUCCAUUGCAGCCACCGGCGCGCGGCGUUUCCGACGAAACUCCAUUGCAUCCCCGGCCGCGCCCCACUGCAGCCGCGGCGGAGCUCCAUUGCAUCCCCGGCCGCGCUCCACUGCAGCCGCGGCGGAGCUCCAUUGCAGCUGGCGUGGUCCAUUGCAGCCCCCUGGCACGCUCCAUUGCAACCCGGUCGGCAGCAGCGGGAGCUGCGAUGCAGCUCCGCUGGCACUUCAAUGCAACCGCGGCGGAGCUUCAACAACCUCGCUCCCUUGCGGCGGCCAUGGCGGGCGCUACGACGUAACGCACGGCGAUGACGGCGGAAGCUGCGAUGCAGCUCCGGUGGCGCUUCAACGCAGCCACGGCAGACCUUCGACAACCUCGCUCGUGCUCUACUAUAGCCCCGGCGGGGUGAGGAUGAAUCAGGCUGCUCCUGUUGCCUCUCCUCUGCCAUUGAACGAGAAAAGGGGGAAAAAGAAGGAAGAAGAUGAGAAGUGGAAUGAGCGGAGGAGAGAGCAUCCGAGGGGAUAA
rnacentral:rRNA from 1 species